GCCCCGGCUCGCUCCCGCCGCCCGCCUGUCCCCAUCCGCUGCCGCCCCGGGGCCGCCGCCUGCGUCCCCACGCGUCUCCAGCCCCCGUCCUGCCCCUGCCAGACCCACGGGCCGCAGCCAGCAGAGGCCCCGGGCGAACCAGUGGCGCCCUGGGAAGCCUGGCCUGACAAGGAUGUCUGCCCUCCAGGAGGGACUGGGGCCGCGACCUGACCUUGCUGGGUGGAGAAGGCAGGGGAACUCAUGACCUGAUACCCAGCCGUGCCGGUCUGCAGGGUCCUGGAGAGCCCCAGCCUCGCCGGGCUCUGGUACAGGCCAAGGACAAUCUGCAAAGAAGAUAAGGAGCCUUCAUUCCUAUGACCACCAAGGGCAGAGAAAAAAAAAAAAAGACCCCCUAACAACCAAUUACACCGGCACAGAGUGCAUUGAGAGAAAAUACGUCAACUGGAAAAAAAAAGGGGACUAUAACAACAAAAUGGUCAAAGGGGAAGUUGCGCCGUGGCAGAGCAGAGGGUCCCCAGCCGCCCAGCGCUGUUCUUUUGCUUAAUACCGCUUGCUUAAUAAAUUCUUGUUAAUUGAUUUAUCUAUAAUUAGCCUCCCCAAUUGAAUUUGUCCAUAACAAACAGCAAUCCCCAGAAGGGCUGAAAGAGCAGGGGAAUAAAGCAGCCAAAGCAAACUGCCUCCAAAAAUGAAAGGAGACCUUGCAACUCGAGUGGAGAGCAACAUGAGGCACAAGAGGGCAAGCCAACACUGCAAAAAUCUACUUCUUUCCUCCAGGACACAGAAGCACUGACUCUCACUAUCUGAACAGUCUCUUGCAGGAUGCAGAGAGGAGCAAAAGGCCUCUGUCCAUGGAGGGGGACACCAAAGAGGUAUCCAUAUGACAGAGGCAGGACAGAAGUGCUGGAGGAACCUACCAAGCAGUGGGGCUAAAGACAAGAUGAUUCAUCCAUGAGCUGGAAUCAUAAAACCCCUGAGUCUCCACUAGAGACUAGGACAGGAGGUGACAACAUUUGCGUGGGAAGCAGUAAAGAGCUGCUUUAACAAGGCACAUGAAAAUAAGGAGCCAGAACAAGAACAGAUUCUUUUGUGCUUCUCUAAAACACUGUGCUGGAACCGGGUUGCCAGAGUUGGUAUGUGGCUGCACCUGUAUCAUGGAUAAACUGGAAAGGAACCACAGAGGGUACACCAGGAUUCCCAGGCACAUAGCUGCUCUCUGGCUGCUGCCAGCUCCAGACCUGGGUGGAGAAGCAUCUUCAGCUUAGCCCUGUUCUGUCCAUGAAACCUUCACCCCAUUACUGGCGCUGAAAAGUCCCUUUGGGCAGUGACAGCAAUGCACUCAAAGGCUCUUGGGAGACAGAUGGAGAAAUCCAUCAGUCACGUUAACAUCCUCAAAGGGGAGCUGCGGGAAGCAGAGGAAGUUUGUCAGCAAGGAACAACAAGCAGUGGCUGUAAUGGAGAAAGGCUGGCAGUAGCCUGGGGACCGUGCUGAGAGCUUCAAACUGUGACACAUAAAAGAAAAGAAGUAAAAGGCUUUUCAAAGGCACAUUUCAAAUGGGUUACCUGGAUGCUGAAGAGCAUUUCCCUGAUGUCCUCAAGGAUCUUAUCCACAAUGAAGCAGAUCUCAGUGGGUGGCUGGCACACAGAAAGGUCUCAGCAUAAGAGGAGCUGGGAAAGCAGCUGAAUGUGAUGACAACUCUAUCAGCCUCUGUUUAAGCUGGAAGAUAACAAGGCUUUGGGACUUGCAGUGAAAAACACACAAUAAUUUUGACCUCAAAGAAUGGGAAAAGCCACCAUGUGUGGAAGAGCACAGCUGUAGGUAGGUCAUGUUGUAGGCACAAAGUCAAUAAAACAUGAAGACAGGAAAAAAAGGAAGAGUGGGCUGUGUGGACAAGCCCCCAGAUAAAUAAAGCAUAUUGAAACAACCUCAGAA